rnacentral:rRNA from 1 species
CAGUCGCCACGGUAAUACGUAGGGUGCGAGCGUUAAUCGGAAUUACUGGGCGUAAAGCGUGCGCAGGCGGUUGUGUAAGACAGGUGUGAAAUCCCCGGGCUUAACCUGGGAACUGCGCUUGUGACUGCACAGCUAGAGUAUGGCAGAGGGGGGUGGAAUUCCACGUGUAGCAGUGAAAUGCGUAGAGAUGUGGAGGAACACCGAUGGCGAAGGCAGCCCCCUGGGCCAAUACUGACGCUCAUGCACGAAAGCGUGGGGAGCAAACAGGAUUAGAUACCCGCGUAGUCCCUGUCUCUUAUAC